rnacentral:pre_miRNA from 1 species
GGUCCUGGGCUUUGUGGAAGACUAGUGAUUUUGUUGUUCUAAAUACAGCUCCAUGACAACAAGUCAUAGUCUACCUCAAUGACCAGAACC